GCGGUAAAACCACACAAUGCGUCUGCUCUUUUUUCAGCAGCUUUCUUUAAACCCUAAUUUCAGUUUCAUAUCCUGCCUCUUUCCAUCUCUAUCUUUUUCUCUUUCUUGUGCGUUCAGUCCUUCAUCUACCUAACCCUAAUCACUAUCCCAUUCCAUCUACAGUCAAUAAGACCCUAUAUAUCUUUGAUUCAUCGAUUGUAAUCUUGAUUUGGUUUUGUUUCACAAGAGAAGAAUUGUCUAAUGCUUUUUCAGCAGAAAUCAGUAAUCUUGAUUUGGUUUUGUUUCACAUUUUUUCAGCAGAAAUUGGGUUCCUCUUCUGUACACAAAUCAAUAUUAAUCACAAACGGAAACACCAGAAGAAAGAAGAACUCGAACCUUUGUUUGAUUACACUCGUGUUCAGCCGUUAGAUCUCCUUUACCUCGACGCCGGUUCGUUCUCUUGAGUGAAAUCAAAUCAGAGAUGGAUAGGGUUUCCAAUAGUGAUCUCCCAUUGGAUGUUCCUUCAAGAACAGGUUUGUAUGUCUCAUCUACGAUCAGAUCUGCAUCAACGGUAGGCGUUUUCGGUAGAGAUGAAAUUCCAGCACUAAUCACGAUUACCUGUGCCUGAUUUGGUGGGGUUAAACCCAUACUGCAGCGUCAUAUCAGAUUCCGGUCAGGCUAGGGUUCCGGCGAGUACUUAGUGCCUCACGACUACUCUGGCUACGACCUUGGUUUUCCGGCGACUAGCGGUUUAAUUCUGGUGAAUAGAUGGUCGCGCAUUGGCCUAAGACCCUGGUUGAGGAAUGCCCGACUAUGUUACAGAAUAUAUGCAGCUUAAAGGAUGGUUCCAAUCAGAGAUCUGAAAGCUGGCAACAUUCUAAUUGAUCUUGACAUGAAUCCCAAGAUAUCUUAUUUUGGUGUGGCUAGAAGAUUUCAUGGACAAGAGAGUGAAGCAAAUACUAACACAGUAGUUGGGACUUUGGGCUACAUAUCUCCGGAGUAUGCUAGAGGUGUACAAAUCGAAUUUUUUCAAAAACUGGUUUCGGUUAUUAACCGAAUCGGUUUUUUCAUCAAAAUCAAAAACCGGUUUUUUAUAACCGGUUUCGGUUACCAACCGGUUUUUUACCUCAAAACAAUAACCGGUCCAACCGGUUAUUGUCGGAUUUUAACCGAUUUAUUCCAAAAAUCGUUUUUUUUCCGGUUUAAACCGGUUUUUUGUAACCGGUUUCGAAGACAAAUAUCCCAAACCGGCACUUCGGUUCGGUUCCAAAACCGGUUAUAAAAAAAAACCGAUUUCGGUUUUUUUUCCCGAUUUCGGUUCUAAAACCGGUUUUUUUUGUACACCUCUAGAGUAUGCAGCAAAUGGAAACUUCUCAAUGAAAUCUGAUGUGUUCAACUAUGGAUUGUGACUGGGAAGAAAAACAGAGGAUUCUCACAUCAAGAUCAUCAUGAUAAUCUUCUUGGACGUGUAACUUUUGCAAGAUGAUUCGUCUGUUCCCUUAUAUCAUCAUCAGGAUAAUCUUAAUAUGAGGAUGUGUAAUGUGUUAUGUAUGGAUUUGUCUUUAUAUCUUUCCUUGUUGAACUUAUAACUCAGGCAUGGAGACUGUAUAAAGCAGGGAAUUCUCUUGAGCUACUUGGUGCAACUUUAUGCAACUCAUGUGUUGACUUUGAA